AUGAGUAUUGAUCAACAUAACAUAAAGCUACACACAAUCUUAGCUUUUAACUCAUUCUCUGACUGCAGCCAAAAAUAAAGCUAACCUGUAGCUUAGAGUUGCACUCAACACCAUAAGGUGUUUCUGCUUCCUUGACUCAGAUCGCUCCACUUAAAAGGAAGGACAACAUAAAGCCAACCAUCUGUCUGCAGGUCCAUCUCAACCACAACGGUCAGCAUCAAAUCCCCGUGAGGCUGGAACAAUGAUAGCUGUCUUCAUACUUUUUGCUGCUUUUGUUGCAUCCGCUCUGGCAAAAGAAUCUAUCGAGUGCAAAUUUUAUGACUCCACUGGAACUCAACAGUGUUAUGGAUCAGAAGGACAGCAACUUAUUUUUCACCUUUCAAAGACAGAAAUGACAGAUUUUAGAUUGAGAAAAGAUGGCGAGUACGUAUUUUUAAUAACAUACAGUAAUGGGAAACUCAAGGGGAACUACGUCAGUCAGUUUGAGGAAAUCCAACCUGGAACAUUCAGUCUGGGAAACGCCGUGAAGAAACAUUCUGGACAUUACUCCUUUACAGAAUACGAUGCUGCUGGACAAAGCAUCAGGGACGUUCUUGUCCACAUAAAAA